rnacentral:rRNA from 1 species
AACGUAGGUACCGAGCGUUAUCCGGAUUACUGGGCGUAAAGCGCGUUCAGGCGGUUUGACAAGUCGGGCAUGAAAUCUCUCGGCUCAACCGGGAGAGGUUGUCCGAUACUGUCAGACUUGAGGGCAGUAGAGGGUGGUGGAAUUCCGGGUGUAGUGGUGAAAUGCGUAGAGAUCCGGAGGAACACCAGUGGCGAAAGCGGCCACCUGGACUGCACCUGACGCUCAAACGCGAAAGCUAGGGGAGCGAACGGG